rnacentral:tRNA from 1 species
GGGGGUGUGGCUCACCGGUAGAGUGCUCACUUAGCACGUGUGAAGCGCUGGGUUCGAUCCUCAGCACCACACA